ACGCGACGACGUUUUUGCAAUGUAUUUUUUGCCUAUUGAUUCGGCCAGUUUUUGGCCAGAGAGAGCGCGAAAUCCAUUUUCCCAACUAUUCCUGAAAGUAGGCCGUAUUUAGAAAAAUGAACCCCAAAACCUUUGAAAACUCAUAAAUACCUCUCCAUAAACUCGAAACAAGGGUAAGUUAAAUUUUGACCGAGGCCCCCCUUUGCUCGAUAUUUCUGUUCAUUUUCUCUUAAAUAUCCCGCACCUAUAUUAAAAUCAAAUGACAAACCAAUCAAAUGAUCGCAGUUAAUCAGGCAUUCAGUGCGUGGUUACAAAACGUUCGAAAAUUUAAAUUGCAAAUUAUACAUGUGCUGAAGCAUUUUGCUGCGUUGCGUUCUUCGGAUGUACAUCAUCCUUUCACUUUCAAGAAUUCGACUUUUUAAUUUGGCUUCGGUCACUUCUAGUAACAGGUAGUAAGCCUUCAUUUGAGAUGGUCCUUCCGUUUCCAGCUGCUACGAGACACAGUGAUACCUGGGAAAAGAACUAACUUCAAAUGAGCAAACCUUGCAACGACUUGCUUCGAGUGGGAAGUCUUUUGAGUCUUGCAAAGAACUGAUGAGAAAUGGUGAUAAAACGGACAAAAUUCUAUUAGGAUCCCUGACACGAUUACUUCAGGUAACUUGAACCUUUUAGUCUCUUGCUGGAAGUUUAUAUUCUUGUUACGGUGUGCCACAAAUUUCUUUCAAUGCUAGCUCGGAGAAUGUGGAGUUGCAUCAAAACAAUUCGUUAAAUGAUUUGACUUGCUCUCUUCACAAACAACUAGUAUCUUUGUCACGGUGGCAACGUGGUGAGAUUGAUAAAAAAUGCAUUCAUUGUAGUUCACUAAUGCGGCCUUGGUCAGACAGUUGAAAGGCUUGAAAAUGAGAGAAUAGGUUCAGAAUUCAAGUCCCACUAUGCGGCGCACGUCUCAAUUUCCAGAGCAAGGAGGAAAAACGAAUUGAAAUUGUUUUUCUGACAUUGUUAUUGCCGUUUUUAUGGCUUCUACACGGCUCUAUAGUGAUGAAAGCCGACAUGUUCGCACGAUAUUUUGUUUCUCUUAGAACGUGGUUUUGUUAAAACAUAAUCAUUGAUGUAAUUACUUAUGCUGCUUUCUUGCUCGCUUUUUAGAUUGGUGUUGCUGUGGCCCCUCGCGGUUUAAACCGAUGAAAUGAAGAUUUAACAAAAAUUGCGAAUUUUAAAACCUUUGUUUACUGGUCAUGCAUGCUAAAUAGGCCUCGGUGUCUGAAGGCUGCAGGUUUUCACGGGGCGUUUCUUGCUGGUUGGUUGCUGAUCAGUGAACAAAUCACAACGAAAGAGAUUGCUUUAAAUUUUUAUUCGCUAAAAUUGUCGGAAACUUCCGUCGAAUCACCGUGCGCUUACGUUACAGAAAAAUAAUCUUUGGUGACCACUAGUUUUCAUUACAUGCCACAAGAUAUGAACUAGAACAAGACAACCUCAUAGUCGCAAGGAUCAACGGAGAUUUGUUAAAAAACAAACAUUAUAAAAAACGAAGAUUAAAAGAAUCAGUUUUCUUCUUAGUCCUAUAUUAUCGGGAUUUUAAUGCUGACAAAAUGAUAGGACGAUAUUAGAAGAUUUUUACGGUUGACUUUUAUUGGGGUUAUUCUUCGUUUUAAGUAGACUUGUUACAAGCAUCAUGUUUCUAGACUACCCAUAACUAACUUAUUAAAGUGAAUUUUAUUUUCCGUGGGCCUUCAUCAUAAUAACAGCGAAUACAAGAAAAACAAUUUUUGCCUACGCGAAAUACCUUAAUAUCUUCCCCUCCGGGAUUGAGUGACCUUGAACGACCUUCAAUAGGCCGCACAAGAUAUGGCCGCUUCUGUUCGUUUACCAUUUUAAUGCAAAUUAAUUACCACGUGAUUUCUGAGAGGUAAACAAAUUAUAUUCGGGGGAUUUCAAGCAGAUUAUUUUCUUGGAAUUCUAAUUGAUUUGUCAGAGUGGCUUUAUGAUAAUUAAAUACGCUCAAAUGUAAAACACUUGUGUAAUAUGUAUUCAGUUGCAGAAGUACUGACAUGAUCUUUUGCUUAUUUUCCUUAGCGUCUCCUGGUUACAGGAAGAUUCUGAUAGACUCUCAUUGGUGGAUUUUCAAGGCUUGUCUUGGAUUCUUGGAUUCGUCAGAUGCCUGCUGACAUGAAGAAGAUUCUGGAUCACGCUUGUGCAAGUAGUUUUCGUUUGGUAAAGAACAAUAGUUUAGUUACUAAUUUUGUUAGAAACCGUGACUGAUCGACAAUCAAUUUAUCCUCACAAAAUGCAAAACCAGUUUAUUGUCAAGCAGAAAAGUGACAAGAAAAUCUGCAUCUAAUUAUAUUGUCUUGAUGUAUCGCCAAAUUCUCACAACUGUUGCAACAAGAAACGUAUAGGAAUUAGGAAAGAGAAAUUAUACUUAGAAUUGAAUGAACGCGGAUCCAUGUUAUUGAAACCACAGACCAAAAAAAAAAUUAUUUGCUGACCAUAUACACUCAAUUUAUUAUUUUUGGAAAAUCAUCGUUUGCUUGUUUACCGCUGUGAGCUGAAAUUGUUUUGAAAUCUAGCCACGAUUCGCUGUUUGAUUUGUCAUAAUUCGACAUGCAAAUAUUUAAACUACACAAAUCUCUCAGAUCACUCAAAUUUUGAACUACGCAUCCUGUCAAUUUAUAACGUAGAUCGUUUCUUUGGCCAGCCAUGAAACUAAAUUUUAUCAGUUUUUGGAAAAAAAAUUGUUGAUGGCUUCUUCACCGUCCAGUCAACCACUAUUAUUUUAAAUUUCGACAGAUUUCGCUGACUGAUAGUCAAAAUCUUUCAUGUAGCAGAUCAAUGAAAUUUUACAUAAAACUAAGCUGUUGAACUGAAUAUUCCGCGUCGUUUCAGUUUGUUUUUGAUUUAAUUGUGACUUCAGGUGAACUCAGUAGGAACUGUCGCUUGAAUCUCGCCAAAUUUUGCUGUUCGAUUACAGUCAAGUUCAGCAUGCACUAACCGUACAGAAAAGAUUUUUUAGAGCAACUUUUGUAAAAAUAGUCGCCUUUUUCAAUUUAUAACGUAUUUUUUGGCUGAUCACAUAACUCAAUUUGUUUUGGAAGAAUUGUUUUCGCUUGCUUGGUUACCGUGAAGUCAGCUGUUUGAUUGCAGUCAGAUUUGACAUGUACUAAUAACCGGUGCAGAAAUUCUUUUCCGUCAGCAAAGUUUGAAAACUAAAAUCUAUAGUAUGAAUUGUAUAUAUUAUGUGUCGUGUCGUUCCAUAACAUGGAUCCACACUUAAUUUGUAUCCAAUGCUGUUAAAACUUUGAAGAAAUAUUUUAUGCAAAGAUGCUAUCGCGUAUGCCAGCGAAAGAUUUAUUUUUAAAACCGGAGCAAAUUUUUGCUUGAAGCUGAUGUAAAAAAAAAAAAAAAAGCCAGUAUUGAAUUUCAGUGUUUACCAGCAACUUAGUGAUACACUCGUUCGUAAAAAAAUAGGACAAUUUUCAUCACUUUUUAGUUUCGACUAUUGCAUUCCCUAAAAUGAGAAAUUUCGUUAAAUUUUUUUCAGAAUUCUCUCCACUGAUACUUAUAACAAUUUAAAACGUUUCAGACUUAGUAUUUGCUCGAUAAAGCAACUUCAUCAUAUUACUUUCGGUUAUUGACUCUUGUAAUUACUACAAAUAAAUUCCAGACUCAGAAAUGUAGUUUAUUGUUUCAACUUCUUUAAUAGUUUGAUUUGCAAUUACUGUUGUAAACAAGUUACCUUAAUAAAACUUGUAAAUUAAGUUAAUGGUACAAAACAAUAAAAAAAUAAAUGAAACCAUUGUUUCUUUUA